rnacentral:lncRNA from 1 species
UGUGUCUAGGCUGUGUGUUCCAGGGCGAUGACUCAACAAGUCUGGGCCUUUCAGGGGAUUAACUGGUUCCAAGUCACACGUGUAGAUCAUGUAUUUCUUAAACACACAGAGAGAGACCUUAGCAUGCGCCAGGUGCAGAGUCUAAGCAGUUUAUACACAUCCUCUCGGUCGCUCUUUUCAGUAACUCUGGGUUAAGUGCCACGAUCAGCCCAUUGCACAGAUGACAAUGAGGAGGCGGCGAGCAUUAAGGUGUACGCUUCGGGAGCGGCGGACCUGGGAUUCAGACUCUGGCAGCCGGCUCCAGGCCCCUGUUCUCAACUCCCUGGCUGUACAGCCUCACUAAACAAACAUCUGGGCCCUGUCAUCCAUCUGCUGAUGGAGACUGGCCACAGCAGGGGACACAGCCAGGACCUCUCCGUCCUCCCUGCUGCUCUGGCUCAGGCUGGGAGGCCUCGUGCAACUCUGGGCCUCUCUAGGCCUCCCAUUCCGAAUGGACAGAAUGCCCACCCCUUCCAGCUUCAAAAUUCUGUGACUCUCUGAUUUCUGAGCAGUUAGCAGCUGUCCCGACCUGCCAGCUGGAGCCCAGAGUCAGACUGGGGACAAAGGUGCCAGCUUGGCCCCUCUGCCCUCUGGGAUUCCGUCUUGUACAUAAAACGAGGCUUUCUCUUGGCACACAUUAUAAAUAAAUGGAACAGGAGAAAAGGGCCACCUCUUUGGAACCCCUGGAAGAAAUCCCAGGGACCACGGUCCAGGGGUCAGCAGGAAAGUCACCAUUGUCACUGUGGCCAGAUACCCUGGGCUGUGGGUUCUCAGCCAGGCCAGAAAAAAGCUGUGUCAGCAAAACUGUCCCUCAGGAAUGUUGGGGGCAGGGCGAGGGGGUUUCCCUGCCUCUGGCAUUUUUAAUACCUGCUGAGAGGAGGGGGCCCGAUUAGGAAAACUUGAAAGGGUGAGAUCUGUUUCCUUCUGUCCCAGCCCAACUCUGGGCUUCUGGUAAAACAGUCCUGGCUCUGGAAAGGCAGGUCCACUGUGGGGUUACACGUGGAUCCCUUCGGGCUUGGCCCAUGCGGUUCCCUCUGUUUCAAACCCUUUCCAGGCUGUCUCUUGUGAAGCCAGCUCCCCUCGGCUUUAUGGUCUUGGCUGCAGUGUCUCCCCCCAGCGUCUUCCCUGCCUCCUUCUUCUAAGGGAGGCGUCUGUGCUAUUCUUGGUCUCAGCUCGCUGGCAUUGGAAUUAGCCAUUGAUUUUCUUUCUUUUUCUGGGGCCCACUCCCUUCGCGGUCCCCCAGCACCUGGGCUCCAUCCUGGGGGAACCAGGUCUGUCUCGCUCACUGUGUAUAAGCAGGGCCUGGCGCACUGUCCGGGGGCCACGCCCCUGGGUCCCUGUCCUGUUUCAUCCUCUCCAGCUGUAUGAGCCUUGGGCAAGCCUCUUAGCUCCCUAAGCCUCAGUUUUCUGCCCUGUGAAGUGGGGUUGUGAUCCUCAGUGGACUUUUUGGCUUGGAUCACAGGGGCCUGGCACACAGUGGGCAACAGUGUGUGUGUGUGUGUCUGUCUGUCUGUCUGUCUCCAUGUCCUUCCUGGCCCUGUCCAGUCAUUGAGGAGAGUCUGCUACUGCCUGUCUACACGCCUCCACGGUGUGAGGGCACCGUGAGGAGGUCGCACACAGUCUGAGGGCCGACAGGAGAAAGACGGAGGUGGCGUCUUCUUGGCUGAGCUGGAAUCGUCCAGAGAAUGUCCCGCGUAUAUGCCACAUGUGUGAAAGUGUGUGUGUGUGUGUUGGCGUGAGUAUGUAUUGUGUUGGUGUGUGCAGGUUGUAUGCAUCUGUUCGUAAGUACACAUGUGCACACAUAUGUUAGCGUGUAUGUGUGCAUGCGUUCACAAGUGUGUGUGCAUGUGUUAUUGUGUACAAUGUGUUUGUGUAUACGUGUAUGUGUGCAUGUGUUAGUGCUUGCAUGUGUGUGUGUGUGUACGCAUGCACGCAUCCCUGUGCACAUCUAUGUGUGUGUGUGUGCUCGUGCGUGUGCCUUCGUGGGUAUAUAAAGUGGGCCAGGAGGAAGAGGAGAGAGGCAGCCGCUGGAUGUUUGGUUUCCUUCAAUGACCCAGUGACUCAGGAAAGUCCUCUGGCACAUAUCUCGGGAGCCAGGGAGCAGGUGAGCCCAGGUCAGAGGAGGAGGAAGGCAGGUGACAACGGUUGGUCACUUGUGGGUGGAUGACAGGGGUGGGGCCACUGGCACAACUUGACACAUCAGGCUGACAUCACAGCUCUGCCAUUCACCAGCUGUGUGGCUUUGGGCUGCUACUUAACCUCUCUGAGCCUCAGGUGCCCCAUCUGUAAAGCAAGGAUAACGAGAUGGCACACGGGGCUGGGAGGAAGGUGAAACGGGGACGCAGGAGCCACUGUAACACUUGUGCACAGGAGCUGAGUGUUAAACACACACAGGUCCCUGUCCCGCACAGACGCAGACUGGCCGAAUUUUUGCAACAAGCUGGUGCGGUAGGGUCUGUGACAGCCUCCAUUUCCAGGUGAGAAGACAGAGGAGGGAGGUAAAGAUGUGAGGUCACACAGAGGGUGGAGCUGGGGCUCAGCCCAGGCGAGGGUCUCUGUCGCUCCCUGGCUUUCUCAGCCAUUAGCUUGAGGAUGCCCGUGUGAUGCCCACGUGUCCUCACACAUGCCCCCAGUUGCACACCUAAUGAGCCUGAGACAUGAAACGGCCUGAGAACCUGCCCAAGGUGAGGCGACAUCUCAGGGUUCGUUCCUCUUAACGUCACGUCGGAGCCACGGCCCCCAGACCCCAGCAGAGCCAGCCUCUGCCUCCCUGAGCCGCUCGGCCCUCCCUGCAGCUGGAGAGAGGGUGCCGGGCGCCUCCCGGGCCCACGGAUCUCUGCCCCGCUCUCUCCAUCCUCUUUCCUAGGACCUGACUCUGGUGGUCCUGAAAAGCCACGACAGAUGCUCGCGGCAGCCCCCGCGCUGGCAGCGGGGAGACAACACCCACCUCGGGGCCGGAGGAGACCAGAAGGCCGUCAGCGCGGAACAUCUGGGCACAUCUCAAAUGUGCGGCUUCCUGUAGGGUCGCCUUGGCCCGGAAACCACAGGAAUCUGCCCUCGCGCUGUGGGGGAGAGCGAGUUUCCAGGCUCUGAGCACUUAUCACACGUCGUUUUGUGUGUCUGCCUCUGGGUGGCUUCCCCUGCACUGUCCCACGGCGUCACAGGGCCAGGGACACGGCUGGGGCCUGAUCCACGCUUGAACAGGGGUUGCCAGACUCUAUCCAAAACCUCACGGCGCUUUCCAAGUUCCAGCAUCGCCUGGCUGCUCCCGGCAGCUUCCAGUCUUGCAUUUCUCCUGCUGCCAGUGAUUCAGACCAAAGCCUUCCACGUGCCCCCUGCCUCCCCCGACCCCAUCAGCUGACUUCCCUUCUCACUGGUACCCGCGCCCGUUUCCUCCUCCCUCCACCCACAUACCCCCCCCCCAGGACCCGUUUACCUUCGGAAGCUGCUCCCCCCGGUUCCUCUUUUAGAGGCUACGAGCGUGCUGUGUGUUUGGCCUCUGGCUCACGGAGGACCAGAAAAACAAAAUUUAUCAUCUGACUGUCCUAUUUUUUUUUUUUCUUUCUUUCCAUUUUAUUUCCCCCUAAGAAUGAAGCCAGCACUUCGCCGCCAUGCUCCGAGGGAGCAUCAGACAUGGCAGGCCACAGGCAAAAGCGUCUCCUCCUCCUUAGAGAGAAGGAAUGCAGCCGUUAACAAUAAAAAAAAAAAAAUCCCUGGGAUUUAUGGAGGCCUUGGGCUUAUGAGCCGUCUCACAUCCGUUAGCCAGCGUGACACAGCCAUCCAGGGGGGCGAAGCUGGAGUCCCAGCUCCAUCUGAGAGACAGAGAAACUGGCUCCGGAGCACAGGUCCUGGGACCCGGCUAAGCCCCCAGCUGCCCAAGCUGGUGAAAUUUCCUUGCAUAUGUAUGUAUGAACCGGGCUGAUUUGCUCAAUGAAAACAUUAAAAAUACAUGGUUUGUUGG